GACGAACGCUGGCGGCGUGCCUAAUACAUGCAAGUCGAGCGGAAUGAUGAAGAAGCUUGCUUCUUCUGAUUUUAGCGGCGGACGGGUGAGUAACACGUGGGCAACCUACCUUGUAGAUUGGGAUAACUCCGGGAAACCGGGGCUAAUACCGAAUAAUCCAUUUCGCUUCGAGGCGGAAUGUUAAAUGGCGGCUUUUAGCUGUCACUGCAAGAUGGGCGCGCGGCGCAUUAGCUAGUUGGUAGGGUAAAGGCCUACCAAGGCGACGAUGCGUAGCCGACCUGAGAGGGUGAUCGGCCACACUGGGACUGAGACACGGCCCAGACUACUACGGGAGGCAGCAGUAGGGAAUCUUCCACAAUGGACGAAAGUCUGAUGGAGCAACGCCGCGUGAGUGAAGAAGGUUUUCGGAUCGUAAAACUCUGUUGUAAGGGAAGAACACAUACGAGAGUAACUGCUCGUACCUUGACGGUACCUUAUUAGAAAGCCACGGCUAACUACGUGCCAGCCGCCGCCGUAACAC
rnacentral:rRNA from 1 species